rnacentral:tRNA from 1 species
GCCCAGAUAACCUUGAGGUUAAGGUGUUCGACAUACGAUCGUUCAUCCUGGGUUCAAGUCCCAGUUGGGGCU